rnacentral:tRNA from 1 species
GGGGAUUUAGUUCAGAUACCAAAGCGCUUGCUUUGCAUGUGAGAGGUGGUGGGAUCAAUGCCCACAUUCUCCA